rnacentral:lncRNA from 1 species
UUUAAUCUACGAUCCCUAUUCUCUUCUAUGUAGGAUGUAUUAGUGAAAUAAUUACUUUUUACAGUGUUAGUGAAAUAAUUACUAUCCUCCCACGGUGAUAGAUAGAGUAUAAGAAAUUAGCAAUUGUUGUCGACAUUAUUUGUUAGUGUGCUAAACAAGGUUAAAUCUAUUGGACCGGUUAAAUUGUCAAGGAUUUUUAUUUAGGAUCCAGACACAAUUAUUAUCUAAAGCGAUUUUAAAAAGGGUUUGCUGUUAGGCAGCAUGUUGAUGUGGAUUAGGUCGAAGGUUUAGCUUUCUAUUGUCUCUUAUCUCCCUUCUCAGUUUUAG